AAGGUGGGGACGACGUCAAGUCAUCAUGCCCUUAUGUCCAGGGCUUCACACAUGCUACAAUGGCCAGUACAGAGGGCUGCGAGACCGUGAGGUGGAGCGAAUCCCUUAAAGCUGGUCUCAGUUCGGAUCGGGGUCUGCAACUCGACCCCGUGAAGUCGGAGUCGCUAGUAAUCGCAGAUCAGCAACGCUGCGGUGAAUACGUUCCCGGGCCUU
rnacentral:rRNA from 1 species